rnacentral:tRNA from 1 species
GCGCUCAUAGCUCAGCUGGAUAGAGUGUCUGACUACGAAUCAGAAGGUCCUGGGGUCGAAUCCCCGCGGGCGCACCA